GAGGGUGGCCUCGUCGCCGCCAACGAUGAACUAGAAGUCGACGGCCAGGUACUUUCCCCCACCUCCUGGCGCGACGAUGAUGCUCAGAUAGUUGUUGAAGACGCGUCUCUCCAAGUCAGGGACGUAGGAGGCGGUGCGGGCGGCGAUGUCGCAUAUGAAGUAGUGCUAUGUCGGGAUGGUGGUGAUGCGGAAUGUGUGCACCUUGCCGUCGACGUCAGUCUAGGACUACAGCUCGCCGAAGUCAGCAGGUUCUGUGGACGGCGGCGCGAGAGGACGAGCCCCACGGAGGGGUCGAUCACGAUGACGCAGGACUUCCACUUGGCAGAGGGGUUCACCGUCGCUCAAAUGACGCUGUACGGCUACUUGGGGGUGAUGAACUGA
rnacentral:lncRNA from 1 species